CCCUUAGAUGUUCUGGGCCGCACGCGUGCUACACUGAGUAAAUCAAUGGGUAAGGGAACACGAAAGUGCAACCUAAUCUUGAAAUUUGCUCGUGAUGGGGAUCGACGGUUGCAAUUUUCCGUCGUGGACGAGGAAUACCUUGUAGGCGCGUGUCAUCAUCACGCGCCGAAUACGUCCCUGCCCUUUGUACACACCGCCCGUCGCUCCUACCGAUUGAGUGAUCCGGUGAGGCUCUGGGACCUGGACGGAAAGAGCGUUUCGCUUGUUCUGUUUGGGAAACUUGGUCGAACCUUAUCAUUUAGAGGAAGGAGAAGUCGUAACA
rnacentral:rRNA from 1 species